rnacentral:rRNA from 1 species
AGAGUCGAGAUUGAUUGGAGGGCAAGUCGGGUGCCAGCAGCCGCGGUAAUACCUGCUCCAAUAGUGUCUAUGGUGAAUGCUGCAGUUAAAAAGUCCGUAGUCUUUUGUAUGUCUUUGUUUGGGGGAUUAUGUCCUGAUGUGGAUGUAAGAGGUUUGGCAGAGGACGAGGGGCACCGGAUAGUUGGGCGAGGGGUGAAAUACGAAGACCCUGACUGGACGGACAGAAGCGAAGGCUGUGCUCUUGGACUUAUGUGACGAUGAAGGACGAAGGCUAGAGGAUCGAAAUCGAUUAGAUACCGUUUUAGUUCUAGCAGUAAACGAUGCCGACUGGACGGGACUAUAUAGUGUUGUGCAUGAGAAAUCUUGAGUAUGUGGGUUCUGGGGAUAGUAUGCUCGCAAGAGUGAAACUUGAAGAGAUUGACGGAAGGACACCACAAGGAGUGGAGUGUGCGGCUUAAUUUGACUCAACGCGGGGCAACUUACCGGUUCUGAAGCGGGCA